rnacentral:rRNA from 1 species
GCCGUUAACGAACGAGACCUCGACCUGCUAAAUAGUUUGGCGAAUUCUCCGGGAUUCGUUUACAACUUCUUAGAGGGACUAUUGGUGAUUUAGCCAAUGGAAGUUCGAGGCAAUAACAGGUCUGUGAUGCCCUUAGAUGUCCUGGGCCGCACGCGCGCUACACUGAUACGUUCAUCGAGCUUACAACCUUGGCUGAGAGGCCUGGGUAAUCUUUUUAAACCGUAUCGUGCUGGGGAUAGAUUAUUGUAAUUUUUAAUCUUCAACGAGGAAUUCCUAGUAAACGCUGGUCAUCAACCAGCAUUGAUUACGUCCCUGCCCUUUGUACACACCGCCCGUCGCUAAUACCGAUUGAAUGGAUGU